rnacentral:rRNA from 1 species
GAUGAACGCUAGCGGCAGGCCUAAUACAUGCAAGUCGAACGGUAUAAGUUGUAGCAAUAUGACUUAGAGAGUGACGUAAGGGUGCGUAACACGUAUGCAAUCUACCCUCAACAGGAGUAUAGCUCGGGGAAACUCGGAUUAACACUCCAUAAUAUCAUUUGAAGGCAUCUUCAGAUGAUUAAAACUGUGGUGGUUGAGGAUGAGCAUGCGUCUGAUUAGUUAGUUGGAGGUGUAACGGACCCCCAAGACGAUGAUCAGUAGGGGAACUGAGAGGUUGAUCCCCCACACUGGCACUGAGAUACGGGCCAGA